GACGAACGCUGGCGGCGUGCUUAACACAUGCAAGUCGAGCGGAGCGGCGAACGGGUGAGGAACGCGUGAGUAACUGCCCCCCUCUCUGGGAUAACAGUUGGAAACGGCUGCUAAUACCGGAUAGUGGGGGAUGACUUGCGUGCUAUCAGCUGGUUGGUGGGGUAGUGGCCUACCAAGGCGACGACGGGUAGCCGGCCUGAGAGGGGGACCGGCCACCUGUGGCUGCGAGACGGCGCAAGCUCGUACGGGGGGCAUCGGUGGGGACUAUUGCACAACGGGGGAGACCCUGAUGCAGCAGCGCCGCGUGCGGGAUGCCCGCCUUCGGGUUGUAAACCGCUUUCAGCCAUGACGCGGUAGUGGCAGAAGAAGCACCGGCUAACUACGUGCCAGCAGCCGCGGUAAUUC
rnacentral:rRNA from 1 species